rnacentral:lncRNA from 1 species
UGAGUUGUAAGAUGAAGGGAUGUUGGUGGUUCUGCACUGAUAACUUCACUUUAAAUGAUGUCUAUUAAUCUGACACAUAUGUAGUGGGGGCAUUUAUGGUUCAUGGAAUUAUGGAAGGUAAAUGCGUUUCUUCACCAGCCUUGCUCCAGUAUUUGUUGUCAAUGUCAAAAUGUGAAUCGUGAUCACGUAUCAGGAAUGGGGCCUCAGCCUCAUUCACUACAAAUGUUUCUUUAAGAAAACAAGCACCGUUGAAUUAUGCUGAGUAUAAUGACCCUACCCAUCGUCGACGGAUCUUAUUAGUCAGCCCUGGUGGCAUUUUUUUUUACAGCCCAAAAUAAGCC